rnacentral:rRNA from 1 species
GACGUAGGGCGCGAGCGUUGUCCGGAUUUAUUGGGCGUAAAGAGCUCGUAGGCGGCUUGUCGCGUCGACUGUGAAAUCCCGCGGCUCAACUGCGGGUCUGCAGCCGAUACGGGCAGGCUAGAGUUCGGUAGGGGAGACUGGAAUUCCUGGUGUAGCGGUGAAAUGCGCAGAUAUCAGGAGGAACACCGGUGGCGAAGGCGGGUCUCUGGGCAGUAACUGACGCUGAGGAGCGAAAGCGUGGGGAGCGAACAGG